rnacentral:rRNA from 1 species
UUUGGUUAAGUUAGAAAGGGCGCACGGUGGAUGCCUUGACACUAGGAGUCGAUGAAGGACGGGACUAACGCCGAUAUGCUUCGGGGAGCUGUAAGUAAGCUUUGAUCCGAAGAUUUCCGAAUGGGGAAACCCACCAUACGUAAUGGUAUGGUAUCCUUAUCUGAAUACAUAGGGUAAGGAAGACAGACCCAGGGAACUGAAACAUCUAAGUACCUGGAGGAAGAGAAAGCAAAUGCGAUUUCCUGAGUAGCGGCGAGCGAAACGGAACAUAGCCCAAACCAAGAGGCUUGCCUCUUGGGGUUGUAGGACAUUCUAUACGGAGUUACAAAGGAACGAGGUAGACGAAGCGACCUGGAAAGGUCCGUCGUAGAGGGUAACAACCCCGUAGUCGAAACUUCGUUCUCUCUUGAAUGUAUCCUGAGUACGGCGGAACACGUGAAAUUCCGUCGGAAUCUGGGAGGACCAUCUCCCAAGGCUAAAUACUCCCUAGUGAUCGAUAGUGAACCAGUACCGUGAGGGAAAGGUGAAAAGCACCCCGGAAGGGGAGUGAAAGAGAUCCUGAAACCGUGUGCCUACAAAUAGUCAGAGCCCGUUAACGGGUGAUGGCGUGCCUUUUGUAGAAUGAACCGGCGAGUUACGAUCCCGUGCGAGGUUAAGCUGAAGAGGCGGAGCCGCAGCGAAAGCGAGUCUGAAUAGGGCGUUUAGUACGUGGUCGUAGACCCGAAACCAGGUGAUCUACCCAUGUCCAGGGUGAAGUUCAGGUAACACUGAAUGGAGGCCCGAACCCACGCACGUUGAAAAGUGCGGGGAUGAGGUGUGGGUAGCGGAGAAAUUCCAAUCGAACCUGGAGAUAGCUGGUUCUCCCCGAAAUAGCUUUAGGGCUAGCCUUAAGUGUAAGAGUCUUGGAGGUAGAGCACUGAUUGGACUAGGGGUCCUCAUCGGAUUACCGAAUUCAGUCAAACUCCGAAUGCCAAUGACUUAUCCUUAGGAGUCAGACUGCGAGUGAUAAGAUCCGUAGUCAAAAGGGAAACAGCCCAGACCGCCAGCUAAGGUCCCAAAGUGUGUAUUAAGUGGAAAAGGAUGUGGAGUUGCUUAGACAACUAGGAUGUUGGCUUAGAAGCAGCCACCAUUUAAAGAGUGCGUAAUAGCUCACUAGUCGAGUGACUCUGCGCCGAAAAUGUACCGGGGCUAAAUACACCACCGAAGCUGCGGAUUGAUACCAAUGGUAUCAGUGGUAGGGGAGCGUUCUAAGGACAGUGAAGUCAGACCGGAAGGACUGGUGGAGUGCUUAGAAGUGAGAAUGCCGGUAUGAGUAGCGAAAGACGGGUGAGAAUCCCGUCCACCGAAUGCCUAAGGUUUCCUGAGGAAGGCUCGUCCGCUCAGGGUUAGUCAGGACCUAAGCCGAGGCCGACAGGCGUAGGCGAUGGACAACAGGUUGAUAUUCCUGUACCACCUCUUUAUCGUUUGAGCAAUGGAGGGACGCAGAAGGAUAGAAGAAGCGUGCGAUUGGUUGUGCACGUCCAAGCAGUUAGGCUGAUAAGUAGGCAAAUCCGCUUAUCGUAAAGGCUGAGCUGUGAUGGGGAAGCUCCUUAUGAAGCGAAGUCUUUGAUUCCCCGCUGCCAAGAAAAGCUUCUAGCGAGAUAAAAGGUGCCUGUACCGCAAACCGACACAGGUAGGCGAGGAGAGAAUCCUAAGGUGUGCGAGAGAACUCUGGUUAAGGAACUCGGCAAAAUGACCCCGUAACUUCGGGAGAAGGGGUGCUUUCUUAACGGAAAGCCGCAGUGAAUAGGCCCAAGCGACUGUUUAGCAAAAACACAGCUCUCUGCGAAGCCGUAAGGCGAAGUAUAGGGGGUGACACCUGCCCGGUGCUGGAAGGUUAAGGAGAGGGGUUAGCGUAAGCGAAGCUCUGAACUGAAGCCCCAGUAAACGGCGGCCGUAACUAUAACGGUCCUAAGGUAGCGAAAUUCCUUGUCGGGUAAGUUCCGACCCGCACGAAAGGUGUAACGAUUUGGGCACUGUCUCAACCAGAGACUCGGUGAAAUUAUAGUACCUGUGAAGAUGCAGGUUACCCGCGACAGGACGGAAAGACCCCGUGGAGCUUUACUGUAGCCUGAUAUUGAAUUUUGGUACAGUUUGUACAGGAUAGGCGGGAGCCAUUGAAACCGGAGCGCUAGCUUCGGUGGAGGCGCUGGUGGGAUACCGCCCUGACUGUAUUGAAAUUCUAACCUACGGGUCUUAUCGACCCGGGAGACAGUGUCAGGUGGGCAGUUUGACUGGGGCGGUCGCCUCCUAAAGUGUAACGGAGGCGCCCAAAGGUUCCCUCAGAAUGGUUGGAAAUCAUUCGUAGAGUGCAAAGGCAUAAGGGAGCUUGACUGCGAGACCUACAAGUCGAGCAGGGACGAAAGUCGGGCUUAGUGAUCCGGUGGUUCCGCAUGGAAGGGCCAUCGCUCAACGGAUAAAAGCUACCCCGGGGAUAACAGGCUUAUCUCCCCCAAGAGUCCACAUCGACGGGGAGGUUUGGCACCUCGAUGUCGGCUCAUCGCAUCCUGGGGCUGUAGUCGGUCCCAAGGGUUGGGCUGUUCGCCCAUUAAAGCGGUACGCGAGCUGGGUUCAGAACGUCGUGAGACAGUUCGGUCCCUAUCCGUCGUGGGCGUAGGAAAUUUGAGAGGAGCUGUCCUUAGUACGAGAGGACCGGGAUGGACGCACCGCUGGUGUACCAGUUGUUCUGCCAAGGGCAUAGCUGGGUAGCUAUGUGCGGAAGGGAUAAGUGCUGAAAGCAUCUAAGCAUGAAGCCCCCCUCAAGAUGAGAUUUCCCAUAGCGUAAGCUAGUAAGAUCCCUGAAAGAUGAUCAGGUUGAUAGGUUCGAGGUGGAAGCAUGGUGACAUGUGGAGCUGACGAAUACUAAUAGAUCGAGGACUUAACCAUAUAA